rnacentral:rRNA from 1 species
GACGAACGCUGGCGGCGUGCCUAAUACAUGCAAGUCGAACGAGAGCAACCGGUGCUUGCACUGGUCAAUCUAGUGGCGAACGGGUGAGUAACACGUGGGUAACCUGCCCAUCAGAGGGGGAUAACAUCCGGAAACGGAUGCUAAAACCGCAUAGGUCUUCGAACCGCAUGGUUUGAAGAGGAAAAGAGGCGCAAGCUUCUGCUGAUGGAUGGACCCGCGGUGCAUUAGCUAGUUUGUGAGGUAACGGCUCACCAAGGCCGUGAUGCAUAGCCGACCUGAGGGGGUGAUCGGCCACAGUGGGACUGAGACACGGCCCAAACUCCUACGGGAGGCAGCAGUAGGGAAGCUUCCGAAAUGGACGCAAGUCUGAAGGAGCAACGCCGCGUGAGUGAAGAAGGUUUUCGGAUCGUAAAACUCUGUUGUUAGAGAAGAACAAGUGCUAGAGUAACUGUUAGCGACUUGACGGUAUCUAACCAGAAAGCCACGGCUAACUACGUG